CAAACGGUAUGAAAUGGAAGGAAGAAAUGGGAAGAAAUGGGAAAUUCUUCCUUUAAAUACUCACUCACUUCAGAUAAGUGACCUCAGCAUAAUUUAUUGUCCAUCAGUGACUUUAAAGUAGCCACUUCUCUCACAUGCUAUUCCAGCAGGGCAGAAGACUUCUUUUUUGGCCCUUCAUUCUAGCUUUGGAUGUAAUUUACAAAGAUGAACCCUUGAGCAUGUAAAUGGUCAAUUCUACAUGGGUGGGCAAGAUAUUAACUUGAUAAAACAUAUCAAAAUAGCUGCUUAAUUCAGUUAACUAGAGUUCUGAAGCUUGAAGCUCUCUCUCUGUAUUUUAGAACAGCCCUCAUACUUGCUGUAAAUUUUGCAUCAUCAAGUGUAGUCAGGCUGCUUCUUGAGCAAGGCGUUGAUAUCUCUCCUCAAGAUCGCUAUGGACGGAAUGCAGAAGACUAUGCUGUUAUCAAGGGUCAUCAUAUGAAUCACCACAUGAUUUUGGAGUAUCAACGAGAAAUGGGACCUAAAACUCCUGCUCAAGAUAGUAACCUAGGUAAGACUGCUGAUAGGGAAUUACUUUUAGUGAUCUUACCAUAGAGAAUGUAAGAGUGAGGACAUUUUGAGAAUGAAAGAGCAAUGAAAAGAACCUUGUGUAAAUUGCUUCUGGACUUUUUUAGUUAAUUAAAUUCUUAAUAGUUUAGCAUCCAGAAUUGUUUAAGAAAUCAGUUUACAUAAUUUAAUAUCAGAGACAGUGUUAUUGAAAAGAAAUGAAUGCAUUUAGCUAUGGAGCUUAAAAUCCUGUAAAUAAGAAAAAUGGUUUUUUUGUUUGUUUGUUUCUUUGAAGGCCACACCUGAAGCAUAAGGAUGUUCCCAGGCUAGGGUUCAAAUCAGAGCUGAAGCUUCUGGCCCACACCACAGCCACAGAAAUACUGGAUCUGAGCACAUCUGUGACCUAUGCUACAGCUUAGGUCCAUAACCUGAUCCAUAACCCACUGAGUGAGUCUAGGGAUGGAACUCACAUCCUCACAGAGACAACAUUGGGUCCUUAGCCUGCUGAGCCACAAGGGAAACUCCUUUUCUUUUUUUGCCUGUUCUAAGGCCGCUUCCGCAGCAUAUAGACGUUCCCA
rnacentral:lncRNA from 1 species